rnacentral:rRNA from 1 species
GGACUACCGGGGUAUCUAAUCCUGUUCGCUCCCCACGCUUUCGCGCCUCAGUGUCAGUAUCGGGCCAGGAAGUCGCCUUCGCCACUGGUGUUCCUUCCGAUAUCUACGCAUUUCACCGCUACACCGGAAAUUCCACUUCCCUCUCCCAAACUCUAGCUAAUCAGUUUCAUAUGCCAUUCCUAGGUUAAGCCCAGGGAUUUCACAUCUGACUUAAUUAACCACCUACGCGCCCUUUACGCCCAGUAAUUCCGAUUAACGCUCGCACCCUCUGUAUUACCGCGGCUGCUGGCAC